rnacentral:lncRNA from 1 species
GCCUAAACAAUCUUGAUCGCCGCCCGCUACACUUCACCGCUGUUUCGUCUGUCUCCUCUGUAAAGCAUGGAUGAGGCGUGAGUGAGCGUUGGUUAGGGUGCUUAGAUGAUUGCUCUAACUGAUGCCACCCUUCGUAGUGUGAAAGGUGCUGUGUGACCUGUGAGCUGCGUGGUAGUGGAAUGAAUGCUGCGCUAUAGUGGGAGAAGCAGCGGCAUGGGGAAGUGCUGUUUGCUACCUGCCAGUUAGUUGCAGCCGGGCCACACACAAGGAAGGGCGUCCAUUCGCUGUACUCUUGUGUGUUCUUUGUGGCGAAUAAACCAGAAAAGAAGGUGUCCCUGCCUGUCCUUCCUGCCCUGAGUGAGCACCGGAGUCUGACUGUUAAGUCCAGCGCCCAAAAGUGACCUGCGCCCCGUGAACUGAGCGACCCCUACGCGUUGAUGGUCCCGCUGCACAACGACCAUUCCAUUCGCCGCUCCUGCCUGACGUGACGCCGCGUCGGCCCUUCCCGCCACCGCCGCUAUCAUCCGCUCGACGCCUCCCACCACCACCAGCAAUAGCACCAGCAGCAGCCCACUAACCAGGAACGCUGACGACGUGGUGCUGGUGCAGCGUGUGAGGCUGGGCUGCUGCACCAGGGAGGAGCUGCAUGACGGCUUCCAGGGUGAGGAGGGCGGUAAGGGCGCCACCCCCACCUCACUAACACAGCUGCCCGCCACAGCUGCGGCAGCUCAGAGGAUGGAGAGCAGCUCAUCAUCUCGCCACUCCACCGGCGGCGGGCUGGUGCCUCAUUGGAGUAUUUGAAUGUACAUGUAGUCUGUCAUUGUGUAUAUAUCUAUGUACGUAUGUAUAUCUUGUAGACUAUUGGUCAAUAAACCUUUAACAAGUAA